UAAGUUUAAUUUGUUAAAUUUUUAAAGUUUAAUUUAUGUUUAUUAAAAAUAAUUUUAAUAUAAAAAGUUUUUGUAUAUUUUAUAGAAAAAAUAAUUUUAACAAUAGUUUAUAGUAUAGUAAUAGAAUAUUGAAAUAAAUAUAAUUAGUAUUAAAGUAAUUUUAAUUAAGUGUACCUUUUGUAUCAGGGUUUAUUAAAAAAAUUUUAUUUAUAAUAAAUUUCUCGAAUUUAAAAGAGCUAAAUUAAUAUAAAAUUUAUUGUUUUAAAAAUAUUUUAAAUAUUAUUUUAGUAAUGAAAAGUUAAUCGUUUUUAAAUAUAUCUAGUUUUUUAAGAAAUAAAUUUAAUUUAUUGUUAAUUUUAUAUUAAUUUAAUUAAAAAAUUUAAUAUAAGUUAAUAUUAAUUUUUUUAGGGAUGAGCUUAAAAAAAUAGUUUAUAAAAUUAUAAAUUUAAUUAAAAAAUAUAGAAUUAGAAAUUUUCAUUAAUAAUAAAAGUGUUAUAAUUUAUUAAAAAUUAUAAUUAAUUUAUUUAAUUUUUAAAUUGUUUAUUAAAAUAUUUAUUAAAAUAAAUAAAAUAAAGUAAUAAUGAUAAAAUUAGUAUUAAUUUUAAAAUAAAUAAAAAUUUAUUAUUUAGAUAAAUAUAAGGAAUUCAGCAAAAAUAAUAUUCACCUGUUUAUCAAAAACAUGUCUUUUUGAAAAUAAUAUAAAGUCUAACCUGCCCACUGAUUUUAUUAAAGGGCCGCGGUAUAUUGACUGUGCAAAGGUAGCAUAAUCAUUUGUCUUUUAAUUGAAGGCUAGAAUGAAUGGUUGAAUGAAAUAUUAACUGUCUCAUAUUUAAAAUAUUAAAAAUUUAGCUUUUAAGUCAAAAGGCUUAAAUAAAUUUAAAAGACGAGAAGACCCUAUAGAUCUUUAUAUUUAUUUAAAUUUUAUAAUUUAGAAAAUUAAUAAAUAAAAUUUAUUAUAAUAUUUUAUUGGGGUGAUAGGAAAAUUAAAAUAACUUUUCAUAAUUUGAAACAUAGAUUUAUGAUUAAUUGAUCCAAUUUUAUUGAUUAUAAGAUUAAGUUACCUUAGGGAUAACAGCGUAAUUUUUUUAGAGAGUUCUUAUCGAUAAAAAAGAUUGCGACCUCGAUGUUGAAUUAAAAAUUAUUUCUAGAUGCAGAAGUUUAGAGUUUAGGUCUGUUCGACCUUUAAAUUUUUACAUGAUUUGAGUUCAGACCGGUGUAAGCCAGGUCGGUUUCUAUCUUUAAUUAAAUAAAAUAUUUUAGUACGAAAGGACCAAAUAUUUAAAAUAAUUUUUAUAUAAAUAUGAAUAAUAUUAAUUUAU
rnacentral:rRNA from 1 species